CGUAGUUCACCGGGGUGUCCGCGCGUCAAAGCGGGCUGAGAAUCGGACAAGCUUCCGUACACCCGCCGAACCUGAUCCGGGUCAUGCCGGCGAAGGGAGUGAGUACAGCCCAGGG
rnacentral:ncRNA from 2 species